UGCGUAGGCGGAAAGUUAAGUCAGUGAUGAAAUCCUGCAGCUCAACUGUAGAACUGUCAUUGAUACUGAUUUUCUUGAAUUUAGUUGAGGUAGGCGGAAUGUGUAAUGUAGCGGUGAAAUGCUUAGAUAUUACACAGAACACCGAUUGCGAAGGCAGCUUACUAAGCUAACAUUGACGCUGAGGCACGAAAGCGUGGGGAGCGAACAGGAUUAGAUACCCUGGUAGUCC
rnacentral:rRNA from 1 species